UAGACGUAGAUGCAUGUACCGGCACUGA
rnacentral:sRNA from 1 species